AAGAUGUGGGUGGGGGCAGGGGUGGGGAUGGAGGGAGAUAGACUCUUCUGUCUGGUGUCUCUUCUUGCCCCAAAGAGUUAAGGACGCUCUGUCAAGUGUGCCCUGGGAUUCAGGAAUGCAAUGAAGAACGCAAAAGAUAUAGGAGCAGAGCCAAGCUGGGGCCUCCCACUGCUUGCCCUUCCUUUCUCCUUUCUAUACCAUAUUCGGAGGCCCAGCCCAAUGUCAGUUAUAAGCCUGAAUCAGCCUUCCUUUCCAGACAGGCUUUGGCUUGGAAAAUACAGAAGUGAAAAGAAAAAGAGGUCCUUCCGAAACAGGAGGGAAGGGGGCAGGGCAAAAUCUUUUAAAAGAAUGGCAUAGUCAUUGAGGAUACGACAAAAAACUUGUUAGAACCGACUAGGCCCAUGAUGGCAGAAGGUUUGACUUCCACUGGACCUUGAGCCUCAUUACGUGCUCAUAUAUAAUACAUUAGCAUCCAAGGGACAUGCCCCCAGGUGCCAUGACAGUUCUAGGGUGACCAUAAAAGGCCAAAAGUGGGCAGUGCCUUAAUGCCUGGAAAUCCCCACCCCUUCCUCGAAAUAGCUGGACUAAUCCCUCCCACUCAUUAGCCCAUGAAAUUACCCAGUCCAUAAAUAUUCAACACUCAGCAUUUCCGGGUGGUCAGGAGAGGGAACUCUCACUUUCUGAGAUGGCCCAUACUCUGCCUUCUCUCUCACCUGUUACUUUGCCUCUCGCUGAAUUCCUUCUGCACUGAGACAACAAGAACCUGUACUUGAGUAAGUCCUGAGACCAGGUGUGAUUUUAAUUUAAAAAAAAAACAAAAAAAAAAGCAGUAGGUUUAAGUCCCAGUCUGAGCUGUGUGGUUUCACUUCAGUUCACCUGAAGACAGGGAGGGUCACAAGCUGAGUGAAGAGGAAGCUUAACUCAGGUUGCUUCAAAUUACAUUUGUCCACACAUGCAUGCAAAAUACUGCUUAAAAAAUAAAUGAAGAUAAUUUCUCUUUAGGGGUUCCCUUUCAUCUCGGGUUUCAAAGCCCUUUGCCACCAAAGAUCCCAGUCUUCACUCAAGUUUUAAUCUAAAUAUCAACUGAAAGCCCUAAGGGUUGAAGUUUGGUAAAGGCCUUUGAACUUCUGAAAAGAACUAAGGAAAAACAAUUCUUUUAUCAUUAGAAGAUGCAAGUGGGCCACUAAGGACCACACAGCUGAAAAACUCUUCUUCAGAUGCAAGGCCACACCUCCGAUCAGAGGCCCAGCUUGCUAAUUAAAAUCACAAUGAAAAUCAGCAUGGGAGGGGGAGGGGUGACUCAACAUCCUUACCCAGAAACUGAAACACUCACGACUGACUCACACAGGACACAGCAGAUUUUCUCCAAAAGGCAUUUGAAAAAAAAAAAAAAAAAAAAAUUCAAGUCCCAGCCGCCCUCUAUCUACUGACCUAGUAAACUCCAUGUCUGAGUCAGUUACACAAACCUGACUCCCAGCCACCUCAGCAGAGCCGGGCGCUGGAAGAGCCAGCGUGGCCUCCUGUGGAUGGGAAUGUUGAAUGGUGUUUGCAUGUGCAUUUUUCAGCAGAUGAAGAGUCUCCAAAUCUCCCGGUUCCGGCAUCUAUGAAGACUGAAUUUCCCUCUGCCAUGGGCCUCACUGCCAUUACCAAGAAGAAGGCUGCCUAAGACUUAAGCCAGCUUGGAAGGAUGAAGAGCCAAGAGGGGAACUGAGGAGAUCUGGGGACCGAGUCUGGAUCUUGGAGCCCACUGUGCCUGGAGCAAAAUUCUCCCCCCUCCCUCUCCACCCCAGACUUUCCAGUUAUAGGAACAAAGCAGUUCCUCAUAUGUUUCUGCUGUGGAGUGUUUCUGUCCCUUGUAACCUAAAGAGACCUGACUAAUGUGGGAGUAACUGAAGAUAAGAUUAGAAAGUAGAUAUAGCUGGGUUACAGAGGCCCUAAAUGCUACACAAAAAGGUUUGGACUUGAUUUAAAAAAAUUUUUUAAUUAAAAUUUUUUUUCUUUUUUUGGACGUUUUUGGUUUUUGUUGCACCCACAGUGUGCAGAAGUUCCUGGGACAGGGAUUUAAUUCUUACCACAGCAGUGACCCAAGCCACAACAGUGACAACACCAGAUCCUCAACACAAUAGGCCACCAGGGGACACCUGGACUAGUUUUUGAAGAUGACAAAAUGAAUUCAUUUAAAUUAAGAGGCUGUUAGUGUUGUACUCAGUGGUGGCUCUGUGGAAAGAACAUAACCAGGGGAGGCUUCCAGCCUUAUCAACUCCUGGCAAUGCAUCUCUGCAAAUCCCAGGCUACCGAAUCCCCAUCUGCAGAGUGAGGGUCACUCCAUAUCCCUUGCUGGGCUGCUGUGAGGAAGACAGGUUCAACACCUAAUGCAAGGUCUGGCAAGCUAUAGGCAUGUUGGGUCUUCACAGAGGGACUGUGGUGGCAGUCAAGGUGACAGGAGAAGAUGAAGGAGGAGGAGCCAGAGGGAGAGGAGGAGAAGGGGGAUACUUCUUGGACUAGGUUGGCAGGAGUGGGAGUGAGGAAGAAAGAUGGUGGUGAGAGCCACUGGCAAACAUCACCAGGACUGCCUGUCACCUGCACAUGGAGUGGGAGGAGAAGGAACGUCAGUGAUGAUCCGAGGUAAAAACAUGCAUAGAAUGAACUGAUUCUCAACCUUCUUUUUCAUCCACACCACCAAAAAUAGAAAACCUGGGAGUGCCUAUCGUGGCACAGUGGAAACGAAUCUGACUAGUAUCCAUGAGGAUGCUGGUUCAAUCCCUGGCCUUGCUCCAAAGUCGGCAAUCCCCCGUUGCUGUGGGGUGUAGGCUGGCAGCUGUAGCUCCAAUCUGACCCCUGGCCUGGGAACUUCCAUGUGCCACAGGUGCAGGCCCUAAAAA